UCAUUCAUCGCGUAGUAGAUGGGUGUACGUUAAAUUAAUGGAUUGAAUUCGAUAUUGUUUUUAUUUGCGCAGAAGUGUUUUGAAGGCGACAAUGGUGGUUAAAGGUUUCGUUUGAUUGUUUAUUAACUGCAUUAAGUGAUGUGUUAAGCAGAACUGAAUGUGAAGUUUGGGAUUUUUUAGUGUGUAAAUUGUGAUAGUGAUCAGAUCACCAUGCCGGGUCUUAUAGGCAUUGGUGAAUUUAUCGAGGAAACUCGCGAGGAUUACAAUUCGCCGACGACUUCCACAUUCGUGUCGCGUAUGCCGCAAUGUCGGCAGACCAUCGGUGCAUUGGAAGAGACCUUGGACUUCGACCGAGAUGGCCUAGCAAAGCUAAAGAAGGCCAUAAAGGCGAUACACAAUUCUGGAAAUGCCCACGUGGACAAUGAGAUGUACCUCUCCCGGGCGCUGGAACGCCUGGGCGGGAACGCUCUCAGUAAAGACUCGGAGCCCGACAUCGGAGCUGCAUUCUUCAAGUUCGCUGUGGUCACUAAGGAGUUGUCCGCGCUUAUGAAAACGCUGAUGCAAAAUAUAAACAACAUAGUAAUGUUCCCGGUGGACAGUCUUCUAAAGGGUGACCUCCGAGGUGUCAAAGGCGACCUAAAGAGGCCAUUCGACAAAGCAUCCAAAGACUACGAGUCCAAGUACCUGAAGAUUGAGAAAGAGAAGAAAUCGCAGGCGAAGGAAGCUGGUCUCAUUCGCAGCGAGGUCACUCCCGCGGAGAUAGCAGACGAGAUGGAGAAGGAAAGGAGGCUGUUUCAGUUGCAGAUGUGUGAGUACCUGAUAAAGUUCAACGAGAUAAAGACAAAGAAGGGCAUAGAGUUACUACAGCAUUUGGUAGAAUAUUACCAUGCGCAGACGAACUAUUUCCAAGAUGGAUUGAAGACGAUAGAGCAUUUUGGAGUAUAUGUGGCGGAUUUGAGUGUACAGCUGCAGAAGAUUCGGCAGCAGCAGGACGACGAGAGGAAGAGGUUGCUGGAGUUGAGGAAUAUGCUGCGGGCAGCUGCUCCGCAAGAUAGGGAGGUAGCGUCAUCAUUAGGCGGUUACUCGCUGCACCAACUCCAAGGCGACAAGCAACAUGGCGUCACGAGAAGCGGCUAUUUGCUCAAAAAAUCCGAAGGGAAAGUCCGAAGGGUGUGGCAGAAACGGCGCUGCCGAGUCACAGCCGAGGGCUACCUGGACAUCUUCCACGCGGACGAAAACAAACCGCCCGCGAGGGUCAAUCUUCUUACGUGCCAAAUCAAAGUCGCCGCUGAUGAUAAGCGUGCGUUUGAUCUAGUCUCAUAUAACCGUACUUACCACUUUCAAGCCGAGGACGACAGCGAGCAGCGAGCGUGGGCGUCAGUUCUAGUCAACUGCAAGGAGGGCGCUUUGAUGAGGGCCUUCCACCAGCAAGCGGGGGAGAGCAACGACUCUGGGCAUUCGUUGUUGGACCUACAGCGGUCCAUUAUCAGGGCUGUGAGGGCUAUGCCGGGGAACCAAGUGUGUGCUGACUGCGGGUCUACCAAUGAUCCCACAUGGCUAUCAACAAACUUCGGCGUAAUAGUCUGUAUAGAGUGUUCAGGAAGCCACCGGGAGCUUGGUGUGCAUAUAUCCCGGAUCCAGUCCCUUACGCUCGACCGGCUCAGUACGUCGCAGUUGCUCAUCGCGAGGCAUAUGGGCAACCAGAUGUUUAACGAAAUUAUGGAGAAUAUGCUGGAUGAGAGGGACAAGUUGACGCCAGAAAGCUCAAUGGAAGAACGGCUAAGGUUUAUCCGAGAAAAAUACGUAUACAGAGCGUGGGCCGCGCAAACGUGUAGAGAUGCAGCAGAAAAACUAUCCGAAGUUGAACAUGCAGUCAACAACGGGCACUUACAAAAUCUGCUACAAGCGUACGCCGAAGGCGCGGACUUGGCUGCGACACUACCAUGCUCAGACUGCGGCGAAACGGCGUUACACCUAGCAAUCUCCCGUGAACUAGGCGACGGUUCCUUCCUCCACAUCGUUGAUUUUCUAGUCCAAAACGGAGGCGCCCAACUAUUAGACAAAACCACAUCUUCGGGCAUGACGGCGUUACAUUUAUGUGCGGCGACGGAUCGGACGGAGCCUAUGAAGUUGUUGUUGAAGGCGGGCGCGGAUGUUAGCAUUAAAGAUGGGAGUGGGAGGACGGCUUUGUUCAUUGCGAGGACGCUUGGACAUCACGCGUGCCAAGAGUUGCUGGAAAAUGUGGACAAACGGGAGAAAAGUAUGUUUGAGAACAUCAACAUCGACUGGAAUUUGUCGCAUGACGAUGGCUCCACUGACUUCUCUGAUGACGAUACCGUCAUCGAUGAAAGGCAAAACGGCAGCGUGACUCCCGAAAAGAAAUGCCCGCGCUCGCGGCCGCCCUCAUACGCCGGCGCGGGCGAGCGCGAGCGGUCGGGCGGCGACUCCCCCGUGCUGCGCUCGCGCUCCUCCACCUGCGACUCGCUGCACCACCCGCCCACCCCCACCCCCGGCACGCUGCCUAGGAAACCUAACGUCUACAACAUCGGCAGCCUGAAGAAGCGCGCGGCGCCGCUGCCGCCCGCCGCGGCGCUGCAGCACCCGCCGCCGCACCCCGCCCUCCGCUCCACGCCCUCCCCGUCGGCGGACAGCACGCGCUCCUUACACUUGUCGCACGGCGCCACGAAGCCGCGUCCGGCGCAGCCGCCGCCGACGCCGCCGCCGGGCUCGCUGCUCAACGGCGCGCACCGCGACGAGCCCACGCCGCCGCCGAGGAAGAAAAAAAAUAGAUUGCACCUGGAUAAGGCGAAAGCGAAACUGAGAAGGGAAUGUUCUAGUCAAGAUUCAUCACUGGAGUUGUGCGACAUAUCAGACGGAUUAGACGACAGUCGACUCGGCGCGUUGUCGUGCGACAGCUCAAGAUCGCGCGAGCGCGGCCGACGGAGCGACAGCCGGUCAUUGGACGUUUCCGAUACCUCUAGCGUGCAUUCGAGGUCACCAUCUGCUUCUAUUACCAUGGUAUGUGCUGCUCUAGGGAGUAGACGUUCGAGCUGGGCCUUAUAUCAGACGGAUUAGACGACAGCCGGCUCGGCGCGUUGUCGUGCGACAGCUCUAGAUCGCGCGAGCGCGGCCGACGGAGCGACAGCCGGUCAUUGGACGUUUCCGAUACCUCUAGCGUGCAUUCGAGGUCGCCAUCUGCUUCUAUUACCAUGAUGGGUGUGGGCAUGCGCCGCUGCCGCGCGCUGUACGACUGCUCGGCCGACAACGAGGACGAGCUCUCGUUCCGCGAGGGCGAGGUCAUCGUGGUGAUCAACGAGCGCACCGAGGACGACAACUGGAUGGAGGGCCAGGUCGAGGGCACCGCCCGCCGCGGCAUGUUCCCCGUCUCCUUCGUGCACAUGCUGCCCGACUAGGCGGGAGGGAGACCGAUCUAGGUUUCAUAGUCGCUACCAGCUGUAGCUGUUCCUUUUAACACGCCCAGUGCAAUCUAAAAUGCUUAGCUCGAUUUGAAAGCUCAUUCGAAUGUGU